UUGGUCAGGCUGGUCUCGAACUCCUGACCUCAUGAUCCGCCUGCCUCGGCCUCCCAAAGUGCUGGAAUUACCGGUGUGAGCCACUGCGCCCAGCCUUAAUUUUGUAUUUUUAGUAGAAAUGGGGUUUCUCCAUGUUGGUCAGGCUGGUCUCGAACUCCUGACCUCAAGUGAUCUGCCUGCCUUGGCCUCCCAAAGUGCUGGGAUUACAGGCGGGAGCCACCACGCCCAACCAGAAGAUUCUAGUUGUUAAGAAAAAGAAUAUCCUGGGACAAUAAUAAGCAAAGGACUUGAAUAUACAUGUCAUAAAAGAUUUAUAAAAGACCAUAUAAUUUGGAAAAAAUGUUUAACACUUCAUUAGUAUCCAAAGAAAUACAAUUUGAAACAAUGACACACUCAUCAGAUGGGUCAAGACUUAAAUAAGGUAACACCCACUAUUGGUAAGGGUAUGGAGACCAGGUGAGCUGGCUCAUGCCUAUAAUCCCAGCAUUUUGGGAGGCCAAAGCAGGUGGAUCACCUGAGGUAAGGAAUUCAAGAUCAGCCUGGCCAACAUGGUGAAUCCCCGUCUCUACUAGAAAUACAAUUUUUUUUCUUUUCUUUCUUUUUUUUUUUUUGUGAUGGAGUCUCGCUCUGCUCUGUCGCCAGGCUGGAGUACAGAUGAGACUAAAAAAAAAAACAAAACAAAAAAAGUGUACAUUGGUAUAAUCCCUUGGUAGUGAGAUUUCAAAUAAUUGUUUUGCUUUAUAUUUUUCCAUAUUGCCAUUUUUUAAAAAAUGAGCU
rnacentral:lncRNA from 10 species